rnacentral:rRNA from 1 species
UACGUAGGGGGCAAGCGUUGUCCGGAAUCAUUGGGCGUAAAGAGCGUGUAGGCGGCCAACUAAGUCAUACGUGAAAUCCCUCGGCUUAACCGGGGAACUGCGUCUGAUACUGGAUGGCUUGAGUUCGGGAGAGGGAUGCGGAAUUCCAGGUGUAGCGGUGAAAUGCGUAGAUAUCUGGAGGAACACCGGUGGCGAAGGCGGCAUCCUGGACCGAUACUGACGCUGAGGAGCGAAAGCCAGGGGAGCAAACGGG